GUGGGGAAUAUUCCGCAAUGGACGAAAGUCUGACGGAGCAACGCCGCGUGAGUGAUGAAGGUUUUCGGACUGUAAAGCUCUGUUGUUCAGGACGAAAGUGCCUGUUGCGAACAGUUACAGGUAUUGACGGUACUGAACGAGGAAGCCACGGCUAACUACGUGCCAGCAGCCGCGGUAAUACGUAGGUGGCAAGCGUUGUCCGGAAUUAUUGGGCGUAAAGAGCAUGUAGGCGGGAAUCUAAGUCUGUUGUGAAAAUGCGGGGCUCAACCCCGUAUGGCGAUGGAAACUGGAUUUCUUGAGUGCAGGAGAGGAAAGGGGAAUUCCCAGUGUAGCGGUGAAAUGCGUAGAUAUUGGGAGGAACACCAGUGGCGAAGGCGCCUUUCUGGACUGUGUCUGACGCUGAGAUGCGAAAGCCAGGGUAGCGAACGGGAUUAGAAACCCGUGUAGUCC
rnacentral:rRNA from 1 species